UCGCCAGUAGAUUUAAUGAUUAUUGGUAGUACCUGCUCAAUGCCUUAUUUGGGUAAAUAGCCGCUGUAUUUUGACGGUGCUAAGGUAGCGAAAUUCCUAGCCUUUUAAUUGUAGGCCUGCAUGAAUGGUUUGACGAGCGCCCGACUGUCUCUUAUUUCACGAAUAGUAAAAUUAACUUUUGUGUGCAAAGUCACAAAUUUCUCAGUUAGACGAAAAGACCCUGUGCAACUUUACUAGAAAGGAGGGUUAAAGGAAGCCUCUGAUGUGGUUUUGCUGGGGCAGCACAGGAAAAAACAAAAUUUCCUUAUUAUGAAGUAUACUGAUAAGUUUAGAUCCAACUUUCAGGUUGAUCAGUAGAAAAGUUACGCCAGGGAUAACAGCGUUAUCCUUCUGUGGAGGUCUUAUCUGCAGGAGGGAUUGCGACCUCGAUGUUGAAUUAGGGAUAUAGCAGGAAGGCGCAGCAGCUUUUUUUGUGGGUCUGUUCGACCUUUAAAACCCUACGUGAUCUGAGUUCAGACC
rnacentral:rRNA from 1 species